GAAGUAUUGAGGGGAAGGAAGCUUUAAGGAAAGUCUAUGCUAUUUUCAGCUUAUGAAGAAAAGAGGUGUAGGCUCUGCUAGAGUUCAGAUGCCUCUGUGCUCAAGUUAAAAGAUUUUUUUUGUCAAGUCUGCAAGUGUGAGGAUUUUCUCUGGUCUUACACCUACAGGGGGUCCAGCAUCAGGCUCUGGCUCUGCAUGAUGCUGCGGUCGCUGGGCUGGGCGUAGAGGAUGGCCACCUCCUUCUCGUUCUUCAUCAGGUGCAGCACAAAUAUCUGGAAGUGCCAGUCAGACACCAGCACCCUCCUUCUCAGAAGGAUAAAAAUGCCAGGUGAAAGCUUGGCCACACUUAGUUCAUGGUGCUGAUGCACAAAAUAAUUCUGGUAGUGAAACUCCAUCACCUAACCAGACCAUUUACACAAAUCCAGCUAAAUGCACAGCCUCUCUGUGCAGAAAUUUGGGUAAGAAAAAUUGCAAGUCUUUUUUAAAGCUUGAUUUGGGUCUGGGUGAUGCUGCUGGGUUUGUCUGGUCUGAGUGUCACUGCUCACAGGACCCCUGACAUGUCUCCUGUAUUAUAUGCUUAACUCUUAUUUGCUUACCUUGCCAAAAUGAAAUGUGAAAUAGAAAAAAUGGGUGACCAUCUUUCCUAUUUUCUUAUUCCUUAUUCUACUGUCUUUAUUCUUUAUUCUACUGUUUAGUAAUUUUGUGAUAACAUUUGCAUCUGUGUUUUAGUGUGAUCUAACUCAAGCUUCCAGCAGUUCAGAUUUCUGAUGGAUUAAAGCCUUUUGCCACUUCCCACUUGUGCCCAC